rnacentral:lncRNA from 10 species
GUUCUUUUCCUGGUUGGGUUCUUCUUUAACUUCUGCCAUUCAGCCUUUUAACGAAUGACCUUUUCUGACUUUGCAUGGGAUUGGGCACGCACAGGAGACGUACAUAUCCACUGAGUCUGCAUCUCAACCCAGCCCUCCACACCAUUUCAUCACAAAAAUAUUUAUGGAUGCCCAAAAGUCACCAUGCCCUCUGCUGGUCACUGGGGAUACAUGAAAAGAAACAGUCUCUGCCUUUCGGGGAGCUCACAGACUGAUGGGGAGGAUAAGACCGUUGCAAGAACAACCUGAGUGGAAUCCUGGAUGCUUUAGAGCUGGAAGAAAAGCCCAGGCCAAGGUUUUCCAAGCUGGCUCUCCACAAGGCAGGCCUUGCCCUUCACAGAGCCUCCUUCCAGCUCCUGGCAGGAUCCGAUUCUCUCCAUUCCUCUGCAUUAUUAAGCACCCACCAUGAGCCGGGCGCAGUGUCAGGUGCCAGAGCUACGACGGUGAAUGCAGCAGGCACAGCCCACAGCCUCCUGGGGAGAAGGAUUAAACAAAACGCCACACACAGCACCGGCUGCAGGGAGAGGCUAAGGGACAGAAGGCCAAGCUCUCAGGCUCUGGAGCUCCAACGCCUGGUGUGACCCUUUCCUAGUGAGUGACUGGCAGUGUUACUUAACCUCUCUAAGCCUCGGUUUCUCCCUCUGUCAAAUGUGGAUAAUAACAGUCCCCAUCUUAUAGGGCCGUCGAAAGGAUUGAGUUCACAUAUACAAAGAAUUGAACAGCUGGCAUGGGAUGUGUGAUAUAGAAAAGUGUGAGCAGUUUGGGUGUGGUGAGUCACACCUGUAAGCCCAGUGCUUUGGGAGGCCGAGGAAAGAGCAUUGCUUGUGGCCAGGAGUUCAAGACCAGCCUGGGCA